GUCUACCACCAUACCACCUGAAUGCACCGAUCUUGUCUGACCUCAGAAGCUAAGCAGAGUCAGGCCCUGUUAGUUCUUGGAUGAUGAACU
ensembl:rRNA 5S_rRNA 5S ribosomal RNA